GACGAACGCUGGCGGCGUGCUUAAUACAUGCAAGUAGGACGCAGUUGCGAACGUGUGAAUAACGCGUAGGUAACUACCUAUUAGAGAGGGAUAACUAUGGGAAACGAUAGCUAAUACCGCAUACUAGUAGAUGGACCUGCGUUGUAUUAGCUUGUAGGUUGGGUAACGGCCUACCUAGGCAACGAUACAUAGCCGACCUGAGAGGAUGAACGGCCACACUGGGACUGAGACACGGCCCAGACUCCUACGGGAGGCAGCAGUGGGGAAUCUUCCGCAAUGGGGGGAAGACUGACCGAGCAACGCCGCGUGAGUGAAGACGGUUUUCGGGUUGUAAAGCUCUGUUAAUAAGGAAGCGGUACUUGAACAGAAAGGGACGGCUAACUACGUGCCAGCAGCCGCGGUAAUUC
rnacentral:rRNA from 1 species